rnacentral:rRNA from 1 species
CCACACACCCACCUUCUUCCCGAUCGGGACCCCCCGCACCCGCCAUCUUCCUCGCCGCCCCCACCCUACCUUCUUCCUCGCUGCCCCCACCCCACCUUCUUUGCCUUCGGGCUCCCAGGCCCCCACGCGCCGGCCACCAUGACCUCCACCACCACCUCCAUAUCCACCGCCGGCCGCCCAAAAGUGUUGUGCCGUCAGCCACCCCUUCCUACCCCAGCGUGAGAUCUCCCCCUUCCCUGUUCCUCCGCCUCCCGCCAGAUCAGCGCCGGCGCGCCCCCUCCAACGCACAGCCAGCACCGCCGGAUCCGGCUGCCGCGAGGCACCUGCGCCGCACUCCCUCUGAGAACCCAGCACAUCAGCCAAGCAAAGGCUGGAUCCACCUCCACCGCGCGCUUGCCCCGACCGGAUCGGGCUGGACUCCCCCGUGCUAGCCCCCCGACCUCCCCUCGGCGGAGAUCCUCGGCCCCCCUUUGAGUGUGCCCACUCCAUAGUGCAGGAUUCGGUGAGUCGGUGCCGCCCCGCAAGGUUCUUCUCCACCCCCAACCGCCUUGAGGUGUGUGACCCCGACCACAUCUUCAUCGGCCAUGGACCCAUGUAUCCCGUGUCGGAUCCGAGUUCGUCCCUCCCCUGAGCAACACCGCGCCCACCUGAAUCGCCGAGGAUGAGCUCUCUCCUCCUCGUGGCGGUCUCCGGCCAGGGCCUCAUGUGCACCAUCUGUGCAGCUCGGUGGCGGCCCCCGUGCAGCUCGGUGGCGGCCCCCGUGCAGCUCGGUGGCGGCCCCCGUGCAACUCGGCCGCGGCCCCCAUCUUCAUGCAGGUUCAUCGUCCAUCGCUUGCCUCUGCUGGCCUCCCUCGUCGUCAGCCACGACGCCGCAACCACCGGCCUCGAGCAUCCUCUCCUCCCCAUCGAUUGUUUUUUGCUUUUUUAGAUUUCACUUGGGCACACCGCUGCAGUUUUGUUGGGGCAUCAGUUGGCGGGCGGCGGGAGAAGAGAGCAGCACGCUGGCCGGUUCUCUUCCUCUUCUUCAACUGCAUUCACCUACAGGCCGCCCUACGCCCUUGUUCUCUUCCUCUUCUUCCACCGCUGGAGUUCGGUUCAGAAGUUGGAGGUCGUGUAGCUCGAUUGGUGCUCCCCCAGUGCAGCUCAUAACAAUUACUCUAUUUAGAAAUGCAGUGUAGAGCAUAGUUGACAGGGAUGCUCAAGUGUAGUUUGUCUCUUUUUUCUUGAAGUAUUGUGUAGUUUGUCACUUGUGUCAUGCAGGUUCCCUUUGUCUAUGUGGAUCACUUUGUGAAAAAAAAUUGUACCAAGGAGUUCCCAUUUUAUUGUUUUUUGGAGGAGUUAUUUUUGCAAUAUUGUAUGGACUAGUUCAUAAUCUGUUAAAAAACAAUACAGUUCACAGAGAAAACCUUGGCGGUGCACUUUGCAAAACAAAGGGGUUCACUAUGUAAAAAAAAUGUAUAGAGGAGUUCACUUUUUAUUAUUUUUGGAGGAAUUGUUUUUUUUGGCAAAUUUGUAAGGACAUGGUGUAUAAUUUGUUAAAAUCAAUGCA